rnacentral:rRNA from 1 species
UAGGGAAUCUUCCACAAUGGACGCAAGUCUGAUGGAGCAACGCCGCGUGAGUGAAGAAGGUUUUCGGACCGUAAAGCUCUGUUGUUGGUGAAGAAGGAUAGAGGUAGUAACUGGCCUUUAUUUGACGGUAAUCAACCAGAAAGUCACGGCUAACUACGUGCCAGCAGCCGCGGUAAUACGUAGGUGGCAAGCGUUGUCCGGAUUUAUUGGGCGUAAAGCGAGAGCAGGCGGAAGAAUAAGUCUGAUGUGAAAGCCCUCGGCUUAACCGAGGAAUUGCAUCGGAAACUGUUUUUCUUGAGUGCAGAAGAGGAGAGUAGAACUCCAUGUGUAGCGGUGGAAUGCGUAGAUAUAUGGAAGAAUACCAGUGGCGAAGGCGGCUCUCUGGUCUGCAACUGACGCUGAGGCUCGAAAGCAUGGGCAGCGAACAGGAUUAGAUACCCUGGUAGUCCAUGCCGUAAACGAUGAGUGCUAAGUGUUGGGAGGCUUCCGCCUCUCAGUGCUGCAGCUAACGCAUUAAGCACUCCGCCUGGGGGAGUACGACCGCAAGGUUGAAAC